rnacentral:rRNA from 1 species
AACGAACGUUGGCGGCGUGGAUUAGGCAUGCAAGUCGAACGAGAAAGUUCCCUUCGGGGGAUGAGUAAAGUGGCGAACGGGAGAGUAACGCGUGGGAAACCUACCCUUCAGCGGGGGACAACAGUUCUAACGAACUGCUAAUACCGCAUACGAUCCGGCGGCCGCAUGGCUGCCGGCUGAAAGAUGGCCUCUGCUUGCAAGCUGUCACUGAAGGAUGGUCCCGCGUCCCAUUAGCUAGUUGGCGGGGUAAUGGCCCACCAAGGCGACGAUGGGUAGCCGGCCUGAGAGGGUGUCCGGCCUCACUGGGACUGAGAUACGGCCCAGACUCCUACGGGAGGCAGCAGUCGAGAAGCUUCGGCAAUGGGCGAAAGCCUGACCGAGCGACGCCGCGUGAGCGAUGAAGGCCUUAGGGUCGUAAAGCUCUGUCAGGAGGGAAUAAAUACCCGCGGUUAAUACCCGCGGGGGUUGAAGGUACCUCCAGAGGAAGCGCCGGCUAACUACGUGCCAGCAGCCGCGGUAAAG